GCGGGCGGGGCGCGGAGCUGGUUGCCGGGGCGGCGGAUGGCGGCGGCUCCUCGAUGGCGGCGGGGCUGAGCGCGGAUCCUGCACCGGCGGCCGGGACGCGGGGACUCCCCCUUCGGUGCGGGGAGGCCCAGUCCUCGGGAUACUGACCGAGCUUUAGUACUGCUGGAAGAAUAUUGCAAAAAACUGCGGAAGCCAGAAGAGCAACAACUGAAAAAAGCCAUCAGAAAGGUGAUGGGCAUCUUUAAGAGCAGCUUGUUUCAGGCACUCCUAGGUAGGUACUAAUAUUUAGUAUUAGGUGCACUGUCUUGGAGGCCAAAGCUAGGUCAGACCUAGUAACUUUCUUAUUAGUCACUAUUUAAUUUUGUGUUUAUGGUGAAAAGCAUGUUGAAGUAAUCCUUACAGGUUCUCUGAGCAGAAACUCAUCGUCCUGAUAUUUUAAAGGUAUUUUCAUACUUACAGAGAAGGAAAAGUAACAGAAACCUAAUAAAAGUUUAGGAGUAAUUAUUCA
rnacentral:lncRNA from 1 species